AUGAGCUUCGCUCAAGAUCAUAGCUCAUACCAAAACAAUUACUCAUAUGGGUGGCCUGAAAACCCGAAUAUGUCAUAUAGGAGCAACAACCCUGAGAUCUCAUCGUUUGCUUCUAGUAAUCAUAUGCAGGGAUUUAGGUACAAUGAGGAGAGCCACAACUAUGCUCCACAACAGAUUUAUUCAGCUCCUACUCAUAUACCUCAACACCAGGAGAUGUUGCCAAUGGAUUUAAAUGGUCCUCCAUUUGGUCAACCAACAACUCUAGCAACUGCUGAGCAAUCUCAUGUGCAAGUGCCCACACAAGAUGAAUUUGAUGAUAUAGACAAGCUCACAUUGCUUAGUCUCAAGUUCACUUGGAGUGCUGAAGAUGAUCCAAUUAGGCCAAUGAUACUAGAUGAAAUGAAGAAUAUCAAGAGUGAAAAGAGCUAG
rnacentral:rRNA from 1 species